CAAGAUUAAGCCAUGCAUGUCUAAGUAUAAGCAAUCUAUACGGUGAAACUGCGAAUGGCUCAUUAAAUCAGUUAUCGUUUAUUUGAUAGUACCUUACUACUUGGAUAACCGUGGUAAUUCUAGAGCUAAUACAUGCUAAAAACCCCGACUUCGGAAGGGGUGUAUUUAUUAGAUAAAAAACCAAUGCCCUUCGGGGCUCCUUGGUGAUUCAUAAUAACUUAACGAAUCGCAUGGCCUUGUGCCGGCGAUGGUUCAUUCAAAUUUCUGCCCUAUCAACUUUCGAUGGUAGGAUAGUGGCCUACCAUGGUUUCAACGGGUAACGGGGAAUUAGGGUUCUAUUCCGGAGAGGGAGCCUGAGAAACGGCUACCACAUCCAAGGAAGGCAGCAGGCGCGCAAAUUACCCAAUCCCGACACGGGGAGGUAGUGACAAUAAAUACUGAUACAGGGCUCUUUUGGGUCUUGUAAUUGGAAUGAGUACAAUUUAAAUCCCUUAACGAGGAACAAUUGGAGGGCAAGUCUGGUGCCAGCAGCCGCGGUAAUUCCAGCUCCAAUAGCGUAUAUUAAAGUUGUUGCAGUUAAAAAGCUCGUAGUUGAACCUUGGGCCUGGCUGGCCGGUCCGCCUCACCGCGUGCACUGGUCCGGCCGGGUCUUUCCUUCUGGGGAGCCGCAUGCCCUUCACUGGGUGUGUCGGGGAACCAGGACUUUUACUUUGAAAAAAUUAGAGUGUUCAAAGCAGGCCUAUGCUCGAAUACAUUAGCAUGGAAUAAUAGAAUAGGACGUGUGGUUCUAUUUUGUUGGUUUCUAGGACCGCCGUAAUGAUUAAUAGGGAUAGUCGGGGGCAUCAGUAUUCAAUUGUCAGAGGUGAAAUUCUUGGAUUUAUUGAAGACUAACUACUGCGAAAGCAUUUGCCAAGGAUGUUUUCAUUAAUCAGUGAACGAAAGUUAGGGGAUCGAAGACGAUCAGAUACCGUCGUAGUCUUAACCAUAAACUAUGCCGACUAGGGAUCGGGCGAUGUUAUCUUUUUGACUCGCUCGGCACCUUACGAGAAAUCAAAGUCUUUGGGUUCUGGGG
rnacentral:rRNA from 1 species